GAUGAACGCUGGCGGCGUGCCUAAUACAUGCAAGUCGAGCGGACGGACGAGAAGCUUGCUUCUCUGAUGUUAGCGGCGGACGGGUGAGUAACACAUGGAUAACCUACCUAUAAGACUGGGAUAACUUCGGGAAACCGGAGCUAAUACCGGAUAAUAUUUUGAACCGCAUGGUUCAAAAGUGAAAGACGGUCUUGCUGUCACUUAUAGAUGGAUCCGCGCUGCAUUAGCUAGUUGGUAAGGUAACGGCUUACCAAGGCAACGAUGCAUAGCCGACCUGAGAGGGUGAUCGGCCACACUGGAACUGAGACACGGUCCAGACUCCUACGGGAGGCAGCAGUAGGGAAUCUUCCGCAAUGGGCGAAAGCCUGACGGAGCAACGCCGCGUGAGUGAUGAAGGUCUUCGGAUCGUAAAACUCUGUUAUUAGGGAAGAACAUAUGUGUAAGUAACUGUGCACAUCUUGACGGUACCUAAUCAGAAAGCCACGGCUAACUACGUG
rnacentral:rRNA from 1 species